rnacentral:rRNA from 1 species
GACGAACGCUGGCGGCGUGCUUAACACAUGCAAGUCGAACGAUGAAGCCGGAGCUUGCUCCGGUGGAUUAGUGGCGAACGGGUGAGUAACACGUGAGCAAUCUGCCCUUGACUCUGGGAUAACUGCGGGAAACUGUAGCUAAUACCGGAUACGACACCUUGGGGCAUCCCAGGGUGUGGCAAGAAUUUCGGUCAAGGAUGAGCUCGCGGACUAUCAGCUAGUUGGUGAGGUAAUGGCUCACCAAGGCGACGACGGGUAGCCGGCCUGAGAGGGUGACCGGCCACACUGGAACUGAGACACGGUCCAGACUCCUACGGGAGGCAGCAGUGGGGAAUAUUGCACAAUGGGCGAAAGCCUGAUGCAGCAACGCCGCGUGAGGGAUGAAGGCCUUCGGGUUGUAAACCUCUUUUAGCAGGGAAGAAGCGAAAGUGACGGUACCUGCAGAAAAAGCACCGGCUAACUACGUGCCAGCAGCCGCAGUAA